GUCUGAGUGGGCGCCAUUGCCGGAGCGGGAAUCCCGCCUGAGGGUCUUCACGGGGUCUGAGUGGGCGCCAUUGCCGGAGCGGGAAUCCCGCCUGAGGGUCUUCACGGGGUCUGAGGGGAAAGCAGGGCCGGGGUGGGCGUGUGGAAGGUUUUGGGGUGUGGCUUCAGGUGAGUCUUCAGGAGGCUUCGUUAGGAUUGGGCAUGUUUGGGACGGAAGUGGUUCGGGACUGAUGGACAUAAGAAGGGUUUGGAGUGAGUCUGGAGACUGAGCCCAGCUGUGCUGUCCGCUCACAGGUCCUAGGCAACGACUGUCAGGAAGUUCCCAAAAUAAGUCACUCACAACCUCAUCGUCCUGGUAAUAAUCAGCACAGAGAACUUCUGUUUCUCCCGCACACCAAGCAAGCAGCCAGCUUUGCAACAGACACAGAGGAGUUCUGUUUCUCCCCGCACACCCAGCAAGCGGCCAGCUCCGUUUUUCCUGCACACGGAGCAGGCAGUCAGCUGUGUCUCCCGCACACCGAGCAAGCCCUCAGCUUUGCCACAGACACCGGCUGGGUGUUCUCCCUUUCAGUUCGCUUCUGAGGCUGUCUA
rnacentral:lncRNA from 1 species